rnacentral:rRNA from 1 species
CUACGGGCGGCUGCAGUCGAGAAUCUUCCGCAAUGGACGAAAGUCUGACGGAGCGACGCCGCGUGCGGGAUGAAGGCCUUCGGGUUGUAAACCGCUGUCAGUGGGAGGAAAUGCAUCAGGGUUCUCCCUGGUGUUUGACCGAUCCGCAGAGGAAGCGCAGGCUAAGUUCGUGCCAGCAGCCGCGGUAACACGAACUGCGCGAACGUUAUUCGGAAUCACUGGGCUUAAAGAGUUCGUAGGCGGCCUUUCAAGUCGGGUGUGAAAUCCCUCGGCUCAACCGAGGAAUUGCGCCUGAUACUGUUGGGCUUGAGGGGGAUAGGGGUGAGCGGAACUGAUGGUGGAGCGGUGAAAUGCGUUGAUAUCAUCAGGAACACCGGUGGCGAAGGCGGCUCACUGGAUCUCUUCUGACGCUGAGGAACGAAAGCUAGGGGAGCGAACGGGAUUAGAUACCCGAGUAGUC